rnacentral:lncRNA from 1 species
CCAGUAGUUUCAGGAGAAGAUUUUUGUAAAAGAUAACAAAAAUUUAUGAAAAAUUGGUAAAAAAUUACUGUUAAGGGCAAGCACUCCUUAAAGGGUCAACUGAUCAUUUUGAUCAUGUUGACUUAUUUGUAGAUCUUACUUUGCUGAACAUAAUUGCUGCUUACAGUUUAUCUCUAUCUAUAAUAAUUAUCUAGAUAAUAACCGAAAACGGACAAAAUUUCCUUAAAAUUACCAAUUCAGGGGCAGCAACCCAACAAUCCAU